UUUCCGUAGGUGAACCUGCGGAAGGAUCAUUAUCGUAGGGGCCUCGCCCCCUUCGAGAUAGCACCCUUUGUUUAUGAGCACCUCUCGUUUCCUCGGCAGGCUCGCCUGCCAAUGGGGACCACUUUAAAACCUCUUAUGUAUGCAGUAAACGUCCACAAAUAAAUAAAAUCAAAACUUUCAACAACGGAUCUCUUGGUUCUGGCAUCGAUGAAGAACGCAGC
rnacentral:misc_RNA from 1 species